rnacentral:rRNA from 1 species
GACGAACGCUGGCGGCGUGCUUAACACAUGCAAGUCGACCGGAACGGCCCUGCUAAUGUGGCGUGCUCGAGUGGCGAACGGGUGAGUAACCCGUGAUUAACCUGCUUCUGACCUUGGGUUACCUUCAGGAACCUGGGCCUAAUACCGGAUAUGCGCCCCUGCUGCAUGGUGGGGGUUGGUAAGUUUCGGCGGCUGGGGAUGGAGUCGCGGCUUAUGUGCUUGUUGGUGGGGGAGAGGCCUACCAAGGCGUUGACUGGUAGCCGGGCUUGGAGGGUGACAGGCGACAUUGGGACUAAACUACUGCCCAGGCUCCUAGGGGGGACAGCAGUGGGGAAGAUUGAACAAUGGGCGGAAGCCGGAGGCAGCAACGCCGCGUGCGGGAGGUCGGCCUUCGGGUUGUAAACCGCUUUCGCCUGUGACGAAGGGUGAGUGACGGUAAUUGGUAAGGAAGCACCGGCUAACUACGUG